CAGGAAUGGGCCUUUCUAUUCUUUAAAUUUUGAAGGAAUCAACCAGUUUUUCUCAUGUGUCUCUUCUCUUCCUCUACAUCUCUUUCUACAGUGAGUUUGUAAGAAACAGAUGACCAACUUGGAGUGGAGGAAAGAGAUGGCUUUGAACUGAGUCCUGAGAAAUAGCAACAUUUGGAAAGCAGGCAUAAGAAGAGUCAGAAAAGGAGACUGAGCAGAAGUCACCAGAGAGGGAAUGUGCUGCAUCCUUACGAGCCACUGGAGUUGAGCCUUUUGACUAAUUGGAAGAGAUAUGCAAGAGAAGGCUGGAGAAUGGGCAGAGCUGGGUCAUCCAGAAAGUCUACAACCCAGUAGGUAGGUCAAAGAGUUGCAGGCUCCUCCUUCAAAGUCUUGUGGGUCUUUGCAUAAACUUUUGACUUUUCAGGCUUUUGGCUUUGUUUGU
rnacentral:lncRNA from 13 species